AGCGAACGCUGGCGGCAGGCCUAACACAUGCAAGUCGAACGAACUCUUCGGAGUUAGUGGCGGAUGGGUGAGUAACACGUGGGAACGUGCCUUUUGGUUCGGAAUAACUCAGGGAAACUUGUGCUAAUACCGAAUGUGCCCUUCGGGGGAAAGAUUUAUCGCCAUUAGAGCGGCCCGCGUCUGAUUAGCUAGUUGGUGAGGUAACGGCUCACCAAGGCGACGAUCAGUAGCUGGUCUGAGAGGAUGACCAGCCACACUGGGACUGAGACACGGCCCAGACUCCUACGGGAGGCAGCAGUGGGGGAUCUUGCGCAAUGGGCGAAAGCCUGACGCAGCCAUGCCGCGUGAAUGAUGAAGGUCUUAGGAUUGUAAAAUUCUUUCACCGGGGACGAUAAUGACGGUACCCGGAGAAGAAGCCCCGGCUAACUUCGUG
rnacentral:rRNA from 1 species